AUCGUUUGAAAGGUUUUCUUAAAACUAACUCUGAAUUAAUGUCAUCAAAUCUGCGCUGAUCCACAGUCCUGACUCGACCGCUGAGCUGGCCGUCUCCUCACGCUGCCUGCAGGCCGGUGAUCGCACGGCCAAGCAGACGAAGCAGGAAAGAAACGCAGAACAAAUCCAGGAAGCGGCGGACUCGCAGAAGGAAGAUAGACGCACGCAGCCGGAUCUGAUGAGCAAGAGCAGCGUGUUCGGGAGGAAUCGCAGUUCCAAGAGGGAGCCGCCGGAUGACGAGGUGGAACCGAGACGAUCUAACACUGCCAGCCUAAAUCCCUGCCGGAGUCCUGUGUUUAAGAAGCCGAAAGGGACGUUUAACAGGGAGUCUGAGGCUGCUGGGAUGAGAAGGCCUCUUCAGGAGAAUCCCAAUGCGUCCAGCCUCGACACGAGGCCCACGUGGAGCGUUGACCCGGCGCUCGCUCUGUCCGUGGACGACAGUGAGAGAAGAGACGAGGUGCGAGAACCUGCAGCCAUCUUUGACAGCUCGACGUGAACGUGAGACAGAGUGUCUGACGGUGUGUGUGUGUGUGUGUGUGUGUGUGUGUGUGUGUGUGUGUGUGAGACAGGAGGAGGAGCCGACCGACACAGACUGCACCUGGGUCAGUCACAGCAUGCUUCAGGGUCGAGGAAAUGGACUCUCCACUGAGGGACUGGGCCAGAAGGCAAACGACAGCCUGGAAAUGAUGUUUGACAGAACAACUGAUGGGGAGUACAGGUCCUUCAUCGGGGAGAGCCAGCCCUGCGAUGAUGAUGAUGAAGAGGAAGAGAAGCAUGAAGAGGCGGAUCGCCCUGGAAAGUCCGAAGCUCAAACGCCGUCGUUUCCGCACAUCGCCGUCGUGCGCAGGAAGGACGAGCGAAGGAAGCUGAAGGGCACCACCUGCAAGGAGUGUGAAAUUGUGAGCAUCUUUGGCUUCUUGAGGGUGAACCUGGGUGACGCUGCUGUCUUCCUGACGUAA
rnacentral:lncRNA from 1 species